UAUGCUAGUAUAUAUUCUAUCUGCGGCAAAACCCACUACUGGUGUCACUAGAGUGUGUUUUGGUAAACACAUUCAGAAUGUCUAACUCAAGAACUUUUCUAGAUCUUUUUGUCUAAAAGUGCAUAAAAUGUCAAACGACGUGUUAAAAGUGCGGUUACCGUCGGCGUUAGCAAAUAAAAGACGCCACAGACAAAUCGAACUCGUUGGAAGCAACAUAAGUUAAUUGGCUUUGAUAUUAAAUAAUUUCACAUCAGAACUUCAACAAUCAAGGGCGUGUUAUUGUUUUCCAUACGGGGCGCGCACACGACGCCAGGAAGCCAUUCUAUGCUCGCGCAGCAGGUAUACUGAUAGCAGCAGGAGCGAAACGCCGGCGUUGCACAGCGGUGUCACAGAGCCACCGCGCUGCGAUCACUUCGGCGACACAAUCCAAAUUUGUCGGACAUCUGAUUCUGUGCUGGAAACACUGGGAGGCAGGAAGUUUGAAAAAACGGCCACUGCCGCCCCCAAUGUCUCGGUCGUGGGUUCGUUAUGCCACUUGUGCGUCAUUCAAAGCCGUUCUGUGCAUUUAUACUGGAUAUUAAUUGGAGUCAUUUAGCUGUGCUGAUUCUGCUUGCCGUGUGUUUUGCAUCAGUGCUUCGUGACAUCGGCUGUAUUGCGUGUUUUCGCCGACGGCUUACUACCACAAUGGCGUGAUCUGCGUUCGCCGCCUUCGUGUCUCGGUGCGUCUUUGUAUACGUCGCACGUUCGGACAACACUUUUUCCGAUGGCUGGACAUCCUCCUUGUACCGUGGCGCUAGCUGGAUGACGGGACCUCAUCAUGAUCAGUGUAUUGCUUGCCUAUGUCUACAAGAACCGUCAUUCGUGGCCUGUGACAGCAAGCUUUUGUGGGCAGCAAGUGCUCUCCUACGAAGGCUGGCCUACUCUGGCAGCGGCGGCAAUCAUCUUCAAGAUUUAUCCAUGAUCACCUUUGCUUCUAUUUGUCACUCUUGUUGAUUACACUUUCUGCAUCUUUUCUAAUUUAUUAGGUAAUAAAGUAUGAGUAUGUG